GAAAAACUGUAAAAAUUAUUUGCAAAGUAUAAUCAGAAAGGAAUAUAAACAGAGCUAUACUACUCAUUUUAGGCCCAUGAACUGCUUGGCUUCUAUUGAGAUUAUAAAUAUAAAGCAUAAUGAUUUUUACACAUAUAUUGACAUCAAAGUUGUUUAUGAUAAUAGGCUUCCGUGAUUCAAGGACAUCUGAUAAUGAGGCAUCUAAAUAAUAUAACAUUAAAAUUU
rnacentral:misc_RNA from 1 species